UACAGAGACCUCAAACGUUAUCCGGAUUUAUUGGGCGUAAAGCGUGCGCAGGCGGUAAGUUAAGUCUGAUGUGAAAGCCCCGGGCUCAACCUGGGAAUGGCAUUGGAAACUGGCUUGCUGGAGUGUGGCAGAGGGGGGUGGAAUUCCGCGUGUAGCAGUGAAAUGCGUAGAGAUGCGGAGGAACACCGAUGGCGAAGGCAGCCCCCUGGGCCAACACUGACGCUCAGGCACGAAAGCGUGGGGAGCAAACAGG
rnacentral:rRNA from 1 species